rnacentral:rRNA from 1 species
GACGAACGCUGGCGGCGUGCCUAAUACAUGCAAGUAGAACGCUGAAGGAGGAGCUUGCUCUUCUGGAUGAGUUGCGAACGGGUGAGUAACGCGUAGGUAACCUGCCUGGUAGCGGGGGAUAACUAUUGGAAACGAUAGCUAAUACCGCAUAACAGUAGAUGUUGCAUGACAUUUACUUAAAAGGUGCAAUUGCAUCACUACCAGAUGGACCUGCGUUGUAUUAGCUAGUUGGUGGGGUAACGGCUCACCAAGGCGACGAUACAUAGCCGACCUGAGAGGGUGCUCGGCCACCCUGGGACUGAGACACGGCCCAGACUCCUACGGGAGGCAGCAGUAGGGAAUCUUCGGCAAUGGACGGAAGUCUGACCGAGCAACGCCGCGUGAGUGAAGAAGGUUUUCGGAUCGUAAAGCUCUGUUGUAAGAGAAGAACGAGUGUGAGAGUGGAAAGUUCACACUGUGACGGUAUCUUACCAGAAAGGGACGGCUAACUACGUG